rnacentral:tRNA from 1 species
AGGAAGAUGUUGAGUAUCAUUGAAUUUAUUGAGUGAUCUGAACGUUUUUUGAAGAUUAAAGCUUUUAAUUAAGCUUGAUAUAAAUUUGCUGUUGUGAAGCAGCGUUUUUAAAAGGAUCGCCGUCCAUGUUUCUCUUUCUUUUCGGAUUUUUUGCGAUGAUGGGGGGUCGUUAAUAUUUUGGUUUUGAGGGCCCGUAGCUCAGGUGGUUAGAGUGCACCCCUGAUAAGGGUGAGGUCGGUAGUUCAAAUCUACCUGGGCCCACCACUUUUUGUUCAGGGGGCCGUAGCCCAGUCGGUAGAGCGCCUGCUUUGCAAGCAGGAUGCCAGCGGUUCGAUUCCGCUCGGCUCCACCAUUGGCGUAAUUAUGGAAUUUUGUUCUGAUUUUUUGGAGCAAGAGUUUUUUGAAAAUUGAAUAGAAGAUAUAUUUUUUUGUAUUUUUUAUGUUGGCAUUGUAUGCGACAUAUAAGAUACCGGCGUUGUUAACCGCACGUUGAGAAUUUAUCUCAGGAAAUUGGUCUAUUGAAGAAGCAUAAGGAUAUUAUGUUUUUUUAAUUAUAAAGAGUUUGCAAAGAACUUUAUGACGAUUGACAAUGAGAGUAA